AUUGAACGCUGGCGGCAUGCUUUACACAUGCAAGUCGAACGGUAACAGGCCGCAAGGUGCUGACGAGUGGCGAACGGGUGAGUAAUGCAUCGGAACGUGCCCAGUCGUGGGGGAUAACGCAGCGAAAGCUGCGCUAAUACCGCAUACGAUCUGUGGAUGAAAGCGGGGGACGGUAAGGCCUCGCGCGAUUGGCGCGGCCGAUGUCAGAUUAGGUAGUUGGUGGGGUAAAGGCGCACCAAGCCGACGAUCUGUAGCUGGUCUGAGAGGACGACCAGCCACAUUGGGACGGAGACACGGCCCAGAAUCCUACGGGAGGCAGCAGUGGGGAAUUUUGGACAAUGGGGGCAACCCUGAUCCAGCAAUGCCGCGUGCAGGAAGAAGGCCUUCGGGUUGUAAACUGCUUUUGUACGGAACGAAACGGCUCUGGUUAAUACCUGGGGCUAAUGACGGUACCGUAAGAAUAAGCACCGGCUAACCACGUGCCAGCCGCCGCUGUAACAC
rnacentral:rRNA from 1 species